AUGUCUCUGGGUGUGCUGAGCUGGAAUGUGAGGGGGAUGAAUAACCCCGCGAGGCGUUCGUCUAUUAGACUUUUUAUGCAAUCCUGUAAUGCUGCUCUUGUUUGUCUGCAAGAAUCUAAGCUUGACAGUGUUGAUGCGUCGGUGGUUUGUAAUACUCUUGGGCCAGGGUUCGGUGGUUUUGAGUCUUUGCCGGCGGUGGGCACCCGAGGGGGCAUUUUGAUGGCUUGGAAGCCUGACGUGCUGCGUGUCAUGGUUGUUCACAGAGGCGAGUUCUCGAUUACGGCCAAUGUUCUGUCUAUGGUGGAUGGCAAGGCUUGGAUGGUGUCCUCAGUGUAUGGGCCACAGGCAGUGGAUGACAAGGUGAGGUUUUUGCAGGAGACCGAGCUCAUUGGGCAGCAGGUGCAACUCCCUUGGAUCAUCAACGGGGAUUUCAACCUGGUCAGAGGAGAGGGGGAGCGCAGCUCGGGGAGGGCUGAUCGAAGGAUGGUCAGUAAGUUCAGGCACACCAUAAACUGUCUCGGUUUGCUGAUAUGCCGCUGGUGGGCAGAAAGUUUACUUGGUGCAAUGAUCAACAAAGAGCUGUCAUGGCUAGACUUGACAGGGUGCUUUUUAACAACGAGUGGGAAGAGGUAUAUCCCAUCAGUGAUCUCAUGGCUCUGA
rnacentral:rRNA from 1 species